rnacentral:lncRNA from 1 species
AACUUGAACCAUUUCCUAGUGCCUUGCUAGACAAACAUAAAGGGGCAGGGUUGUGGGGAGGGGAACAUUUUUGGUGGCGUGUGCAGUUCCUACUGGAUGAGUGUGUGUUUCUUAAUGUCUCAUUUCAAGCAGGAGAUGUUGGGCCUGGAGCAAGAUCUGAGACUGAGAUGUCCCCCAAGGGUGAGAGGCCAGAUUUAUUCCAGUCAGUCCAAGUCACACUCCAAACUAAAGGCUGGGCAGUGCGUUUAGUCUGUGGCCUAGAAGGCCUCAUCAGCCCCCGAGAGGAGGCUUUGCAUUACCUCACUGGGACCUGUUUGGGGGCCAUCACUGCGGUCCACCCUCUGAACCCCCAGCAUGUUUGUCCUGUUUCUCACCAUUGGGUUAAGGGGUGCCGAGCACUAGCUAGACUUCCACAUAGUCCCGCCCCAAGUGGGCGGCAGUGUUCCUGGCAUGACCAGGAUUCCUGUGAAAGCAGGAGCAGCAGCAAGCCAUCCCGGGCCUGCCUUUCCCAUCCUUUGGUUCUCCUUUCCAGUCUGGGUUCACACCCUGAAAAGGGAUGGGUGUCUCCUCUGAGCACUCCAACAUUUGUCAUUGCUGAGCCCACAUCAGUAGGUCCUGGGACCUGACAAAGUAUGUGGGAGGGGAAGGAAGGACAGAAUUUGACUGGCUCCAUUUCAUGGACCAACUGAUCAGUUGCCAGUACUCAGCCACUCAUUGUUAAUGGCUUCCUUUUUGAAAACCGCCUGUCUCAAGGAUUCAGGUUUCUGCUCACAUCCCCAGCUGAUACUCAAUAAAACUCAGCCGGGAGCAUAUAGAGAUGCUGACAGCCAGGUAAUGGGUGAGACUGUGGGGUGCCUUUUCCUCUAAAGCCUUUACUCUGAGGAUAAGGUCACAAAGUAGGGUGUGACUUCAGAGUAUCGUGACCACGUGGCCCACCAGCAGCCUUUCCAAAGGGGAACUCCAGAAACAUUUCAUAAUGCAAACAGCACUGUUGCUUUAAGAACAAGGCCUUUGGAGGUGGCUAAACUUGCAGGCACGUGUGUGAAAAGCCAUCCCAUCUUCUGCCUCCAGUUGGAGCUUUCAGCUUUUAAAACAGUCAGAAACUAUUGAUUCUUCCCUUUAGGAAAAAAUCGCUCAGGCAGAACGGGGCACAUCCACAGGAGGAAUCUGACGAGAGGAUGUGACAUUCGGUCCAGGAGAGAAAGAGCAGUUUCUGUUAAAGAUGUAGCAAAUGGAUUUCCAAAGUCUACAUCACAUUCACUUUUCAAACGUCCCACCAGUUGAAUUUCUUUUUUCCUUAAGAAAUAGGUGAUGUCUUGGAAAACAGCUCCUUAUGUCUCUCUGUGCAUCUCCAUUUUCCUAGUCUCUGGAGUCUCAAAAAGAGUGGCAAAGCACUUUACAGUAGUAACUGAGGAAUCAGAUUCUCUGCUUCAGCGAUAUCUAGUUUGUACAGUUGGGUGAUCUUUUAUAAUUCCUAGGAGGUAAUGCAUUUUUAAUGUUUUCUGAAGCUUUGUAAGUGUGAGAGAGGGACAAGAAGUGCAGUUCUGUUCUGGAAUUCCUUAUUGCUUUCAAUGGACACUCUUUGUGAAAAAUCCAAGUAAUAUUUUAGUUCAAACUUGAUCUUGAGCCAAGGCCCACUGCCACCACUGGGAUGGGGGUCGGACCUACAUACCAAGUGACAAGUUCAUCUUAACAUCUGCUUCCAGAAUGGCUUUGAUUCAGCCGUGCCAGGCAACAGAACAGGGUCAGACUCCUGCUCUAUUAUUGGCUUGAAGACUAGGAUCCCAAAGGGGUUGGAGGCAGGGAAUAUUUGAAAAUUCAGACUGGAAUUCCAGGCCGAAAGCUCAAGACCACUAGCCUCUCCUCCUGCCUGGAAAAAUGAGCCUUUGUGAAAGACUGAUUUACCAUGUACAAUUGUGAUUGUGAACGUUGUUGAGUAAACCUCCAGACUUUCUCUAAA